CAGACCCCUACAGAUGGAAGGCCGUGUGAAAAUGCAGAGAGAAGAUGGUAGCAUCUAUAUAUAAUCCAAGGACAGAGGCCUGGCACAGAUCCUUCUCUCACAGGCCUCAGAAGGAAGGAGCCAACCCUAUCAACACCUCGAUCUCAAACUUCCAGCCCGAAGAACUGUGGGAAAUAAAUUUCUGUUGUUCUUCAUCCAGUCCGAUGCUUUGUAAUGGCAGUCCAAGCAAACGAAUACUGACUCCUUCUCACAAGGGAAUCCUAGGGGAGGACCAGGGGCUGGUCGUAGAUUAGUAUGUUCCUUCUCCUGAGAUUUGUGGAUUUUAUCAGAGGAAUUUAUGAAAGCCUUCAUAUCUAUCACCUUGAUAUCUUGUUAGGGCAGAGCUUGAGGCACUGUCACAGGUUGUUGGAGAAUAAGUUUUGGGGCUAGGGAUUGUUCCCAGUGCCCCAUAAUUAUCUCCAGGACACCAGCCUCUUAUGACUACACAAAAGGCCUGGAAUUAGAGACUGCAACAUCACUGGCCACAUCCCAAGAACAUUGGCCACUGCUUCUAAGUUCUUUCUAGUCUGGGGAGUCUGAUUGACGCUCCCAGGGGCUGCUCUCAGUUCAGAAGCUUCCUAUAUAACACAAAGCCUGCCCUGCAGGUCCUGAAAAGGCAGAGGAUGGGAAAACACAUCAUAGAGUCACCUUGUGAUAUCACGCAUCAUCUUUAAGAAAGCAUUUGUGGAGAUUCACAUAAUGCCCCUGUGCCUGUAACGUGGGCCCACACCUGAAGAAAACAUGUGGAUAGAUUUCAUCUGGCAAAAGGCCAAGGAAGCCAGCCAUGCUGAGACCUGCUCCUCAGACUCACUCAUUGUAGCUCUGCAAGGGCUGACCUCAUGGACAUGCUGCAAGAAUAGGUUCAUGUAACAACAGUAACCUUAUGAGGUAGAUGCUCCCAUUGCAAGCUGUAACUCUGGAGAGAUCAAGUCAAUGCCCAAGAUCAUUUGCGCUGGGGGAAGCUAUUCCAGCUGUCCUCUGCAGAGACGUGCUUGGCAAGGAGCAGAAGCUGCAGGCCAACAGCUGCAUGUGGGAGGAAAUCCACCAGCUUCAGUCAAGACUCAGAUGACUGAACUCCCAGCUGACAACUUGAUUGCAGCCUUGUGAGAGACCCUUAGCCUGACCCACUCCAGGAACCACGGCAAUCAAUGUUUUUGGCUCAGCCUCCACAUGGAUACCUUGAAGAAGACAUAAUUCAUGAAAAAGAGGAAAACAAGACUUCAUCCCAGUGAAGCCUCUGAUAAUCCCCUCUCUAGUGGAUGCUGGGAUGCGCCACCCAGGUUCCUAUAGGAUAAAGGUGCUCAUCCCCCAGGUGCUGGACUGUCGUUGGCUGACAGAUGUCAGCUGAGAUGCUCUCCAGAAGUUGUCCUCAGAUGAAGAGAGCAGUCUCACCCAAGGUUAUGACUUCUUCACAGGAACAACUUCCAGACAAUGACUCCAUUAUUAUGUGGGAUAUAAAGACCCAACGCCCUUGCCUCAAAGUGGGACAAAGAUGGUGCUCCCAGCCCCAGAGCUCCUUUGGGGUUAACUGAAGCUAAUUGAUGCUAACUGUGGCUGCAUCAUAGCCCAGCCUAUCCUUUUGAACAAUCCUACUUCUUCCCCUCCCCAACAGAUGUGGUCCUGAAGAUCCUCCUCAAUCAGCUUCCUCUGAGGAAACUCUAUUUCAGAGUCAGUUUCCUUAGAAACCAAGCCUAAGACAAUUGGUGUCAAGAGCAGUUUAAAGAAGCAGACUCUGAAAUGGAGUUUUGGAGCUGGAUCCCCUGUUAAGCACCUGACAGUGAGAACACUGCCACAGGCUGUAGGUGAAGCAUGGAUAAUGCUGGAGCAGUGCAGUUAUUAAAACUCACCAGUGCUGAACAAGGUGGGAUAGCAGUGGAAGAGAAUAUCCUGGAAGGCGCAUUGUCUCAGGCUUUUGAGAAGUGUAAGGGAAGUCAUGAUUAUAAGGACUGUGGAAUUAGA